UACAAAAAGAUGUUGCUUUGUUAUCACAACAUUUUGUACUGUCCUGAAUGGAGGAGGAGGAGCUAUUUCAGUAGCUCUUGUCUUGAAUCAAAAUGCUGCCAAGGUAGCUGCGGCUUCGGAAACUGCUGCAUUCUCCCAAAAUCCUGCACUUGUUCUUGCUCCAGUUAUCCCAAGAGUCAACUGAAGGCUAAGUGGGAAGAGUAGAAGAAAUUGCUUGAGAAGGCAAGAUAUGACGCUGAGAAGAAAUAUGAUGAAAUAAAUGAGCAGAAUAAAAUACUUCAUAGCCAUCUUGAAGCUUUGCAUAUUCGGAAGGCAAAGAAGGAGCACAAUGCCGCUGGUAUAUCAUUUGGAAGUAGUAGUGCAGAUACAUUUGGUGAUGCUGGUCUUCAAACUGUGAUGACUUGUCUCCGGAAUUCAAAAAAAAUUGUAAAUACUUGUCAUGUGCUGCAAAUUUGUUUCGCUUGUAUAUUUGUAUAUUCAUUUUAAGUUCUCUACUUUCACAGUCAGAAACAGAAGUGUCAGCUUUGA